UACGUAGGGGGCGAGCGUUGUCCGGAUUUAUUGGGCGUAAAAGGCUUGUAGGUGGCCACGCCAAGUCGGAUGUGAAAUCUCCCGGCUCAACUGGGAGGGGUCAUUCGAUACUGGCGGGCUCGAGGCCGGUAGGGGGAAGCGGAAUUCCCGGUGUAGUGGUGGAAUGCGUAGAUAUCGGGAGGAACACCAGUGGCGAAGGCGGCUUUCUGGGCCUUACCUGACGCUGAGACGCGAAAGCGUGGGGAGCGAACCGG
rnacentral:rRNA from 1 species